UACAGAGGGGGCAAGCGUUAUUCGGAAUUAUUGGGCGUAAAGGGCGCGUAGGCGGCUUGGCAAGUGGAAGGUGAAAUCCCUCGGCUUAACCGAGGAACUGCCCUCCAAACUGCUUCGCUUGAGACCGGGAGAGGUGAGUGGAAUUCCCAGUGUAGCGGUGAAAUGCGUAGAUAUUGGGAGGAACACCAGUGGCGAAGGCGGCUCACUGGACCGGUACUGACGCUGAUGCGCGAAAGCGUGGGGAGCAACGGG
rnacentral:rRNA from 1 species